AUGAACGCUGGCGGCGUGCCUAAUACAUGCAAGUCGAGCGAACAGAUGAGGAGCUUGCUCCUCUGACGUUAGCGGCGGACGGGUGAGUAACACGUGGAUAACCUACCUAUAAGACUGGGAUAACUUCGGGAAACCGGAGCUAAUACCGGAUAAUAUAUUGAACCGCAUGGUUCAAUAGUGAAAGACGGUUUUGCUGUCACUUAUAGAUGGAUCCGCGCCGCAUUAGCUGGUUGGUAAGGUAACGGCUUACCAAGGCAACGAUGCGUAGCCGACCUGAGAGGGUGAUCGGCCACACGGGAACUGAGACACGGUCCAGACUCCUACGGGAGGCAGCAGUAGGGAAUCUUCCGCAAUGGGCGAAAGCCUGACGGAGCAACGCCGCGUGAGUGAUGAAGGUCUUCGGAUCGUAAAACUCUGUUAUUAGGGAAGAACAAAUGUGUAAGUAACUAUGCACGUCUUGACGGUACCUAAUCAGAAAGCCACGGCUAACUACGUG
rnacentral:rRNA from 1 species